rnacentral:lncRNA from 1 species
CAACUAAAACCUGUUUUCUGUGUAUGCUUUCCCCCUAGAUGGCGUUUCUUCUCUUCCUUAUUGCCCACUGAUACAUCUUGACUGAGGAGGCAUGAGACAUGUCAUUUCUCCUUGACCAUUCGGAAGGGUUAGAGAAGACAUCACCAGGAACUGGAUGGUCCCCAAUGCCAGCCUUUUAUGAAGCCUAAAUACUCUGCUCUUUCAUCAGCAAAUUAGACCCCUGGAACCCCUAGUGAAAAGAUGACAAACCUCAAAUGUUGUGACCAGUAG